CAUCAGCACAACAAUACUGGUCCUCCAGCAGGAGUGCACUUGCAAGCACAGUCUUCUCACUUGAGUCAAGUUUCUGUCCCACUCUUCAACAGUUGACCAGGAAGGGCAUGUCAAGUGUUGGGACACCUCAGCUACUGAUUUGGCUAUUAAUUUUAGAGCUCUGCUUAUAGACUUAAGAACUGUGUACUAAUGCUAAGACUACGCACUGACUUUUUGAACAAAGCUUGCAGGUUUCCUUGAGCUGAGAGUCCAAGUUUCGUGACUGGGGCUUGGAGCUACGACAAGCGCUUUGCAUUGACUUCAAAGUGAUGAUGCUGGCAGGUCUAUUGAUGUCAUUAACCUCUUGAAACAAGAGAUGUGGACUAUGCCACUAUCACUGGCUACAAGAAGAGAAUAUUUCACAGCUAAGUUUGAAAGAAACCUGGAUUCUAACAUGUUCUGUAAUGGAUGGUAUGGCAGUAAUUCAGACCAUGGGAAACCCAAGGAUGUAGUGACCUUUGAAGACUAAGCAGACUUGUUUAAAGUGAGUACGGUAUCUUGUCCAGUUUCAAUGAAUGUUACACCACAACAGAUGUUGUAUUUGACUGCUUCAAGAAACCAUCUAUUAAGGAUGUUACCAUGCCAAAAUUGGAAAAGGAAGGAAAACAAAGAGUUUUAGCAGCAGUUUUUCAGAACCAAUUUGCUUUUGUGAAGUUGAUGUUGUGCAGUGAAGGAUCAAAUAUCUGAUAUGCAACAGUUUCUCAAGUUUCCAAAUUGGACCAGAAACCCCAAAACACAGGGGCCCCAUGCUUUACAGAUAUCACACAUUUCAAAAUCCCAAGACUUACACUAACUUUGAAGCUUUGCAUUGAGCCAUCCAAAAAGCGGACACUGCAAAUGAUCUCAGAUCGGGUCCGUUCCUUUGGUAGUUCUGAUGCUCGAAUGUUAUUUAUUCUCCCACCUAGUGCUCGUAACCGAGAGUUCAUAACUGUUGCUGAACAACCUGCAAAGAAAGAUGCCAAAGUAUAUUUUUACAUGUGACAGACAUAUGCUUUUGGUUAUAUACAAGCUUUCCUUUAAACUGCUUUGAAGUUUUACAGUAUAUAAAUAUACAGUAUAUAAAUU